UUUCAUCCCCAGUGGGCGUGCAUUACUGCUCUAUAUUUAUUCCCAGAUGCUUUCGACAUGGUUAGCAGGCUGAGGGAGGCGCUGCCGUUGGAGAGAGUGUGUUCAAAGAAGCAGGAUGUUGGUGGGCGGAGCCUUGAGGGUUGUCAGCGAAAUGAGACACACCUGGGCCCGGGUGUGUCCCGGGAUAAAUACACCUCUUCCCCAUUCAUUGAGGAGACUCUCCAGGCAGACAUGCUGUUGGAUUUUGGUUGUGGCAUUUUUGGAGGCCAUUUUGUUUUGUUUUCUUGCUUUGGCACCUUUCAACACCCCUCAUUAUCACAUCUAUGCAUGCAACCACUCACUUACACUACUGACUACAUACACCAUUGUUUAUUGUAUAUAGGUUACUUCAGUUAUUAAAUAUAUUUUUGUUUUUCCUUA